rnacentral:lncRNA from 1 species
CUGGCCUCUUUGGGCGUUGGCUCCUUUGCUUUCAUAUGCUUUUUGUGCAUAGUCAUCAUGGCACCCACAGGACAAGCUCCUCAAAAGAGAUUUGGCUGAUGGGAGUCCCUUCCAACUGGCUCCUGUGUCCUUUUAUAAGCUUGGCGUUUUUGGAGGAACAUAUUCUAUUGAUGUGUCCACCCCACUUCAGCUGUUUUUCUAACUCUGGUUUCCUGGCUCAUAAAGAAGAAACAAUUUGAGGGCGUGGCAUUCCUGAUGACUCUCAGCGGGAUGCCAACUGAUGUCAACUCCCAGGUACAGGGAAUGGGAACUGUGGGUGGAAGACGGCAGAGCCUCUGUCAGCUGUGUCCAAAAUGGCUGUGUGAACCGCAUUCUGACUCCUCGGCUCCCUACCACAUCCCCUGCCCCCGAUCACCAGUCUCUGCCAUUGGGCUUUACUUUCAUUGAUGACCUUGGCAUAUCCAAGAUUAAUGAAGACGAAUCCGCGUCCUUACUACUAAGCAAAGAGCCUCCAAGCAAAUGAUUGUGGACCAGAGAGCUAUCUUCAUAGCCAUAAAAAGUACUUUUCAAAUAAGAGAUGUCAAAUGAGCCAAUUGCGUGCUAGAUACAGGAGACCACUAGUGCUCCCUAAAGUGCUGGGCUUCCUUGCUGUGUUAUUUAUUGAUGAACAUUGGGGAACCAGAGAUGACAAGAAGAAAGGAAGAGCAGGAAGCCAAUAACAUGGCCAGUGCAUUGGAGCUGGCCAACUCCGAGCUAUCACUGAGACUUGGUAAUGAUAUGAAGGGAUGGGCAAUUCCAGGGCUGCACCCCGCACUGGGGGUCUGCUGGAUGGUGCUUUGAGGAUGACCCUAAUCCCAGAUCACACCAAAGUAUUCCAGUUUUGAUGGCAAGUUUUCUAGGUAUCCAAAGUGAUGGCUGCAAUCCACGAUGACAGAGGCUAUGUGAAUAUCAGGGAAAUUUAAGUCUGAGUGGUGGUUUUUUCCCCCGCAAUGUGACUCAACUUCCCUUUCUCUAAACACGUAUUUCAUUUUCCUUUCAUAAUUUAUCCAAUUCCUCUCACAAAAAUUGCUUUGGGUUGCAUUAUAGGAAUAUUUUGGAAUUCCCCCCCAACCCCCGUCUUAUAUUUCUCUUUAAUUGUUUGUGCCUAAAAAAUGGUAUUUUGUUUAAGAGUACAGUAACUGGUCAAGAGGAAAUGUCACUGAAACACCAAGAUCCUCAAUUUGGUUUUGUUUUUUCUUGCUAACUUCUCUGAGAACAAUUUCCCCACAAAGCUACAGUCACGUAAAUCAACAGAGAGCAGAUAUGCGUCCUUAGAAGUUUCAGUCAUUGGAUAGCCUUGGUGAUCAUGAUAUUUCUUUCUCCAGAACACUUGACUCAUUUACCAAUUUCAUUCCCGGUGUGUGUGCUGGAAAAAGCUGCCAAGUGUUACUACCAGUUGGGGUGAUAGGCCAGCUCCCUGCUGGCAGCAUUUAUUUACAGUCAAGAGGACAACACUGAACUAACAUGAACAAGGUCUAUGAAAGGUUCCCAGGAAGGAGUCAGUUGACAGAUGGCAACAUAGACUCAAGGUCCCAUUUUCCACAGGGGUCUCCACAUAUCCAGAGGAGUAUGCCCAGGGCAUCACACAAGUACACACACGACACCUUGAGUUAAUUUCACCCUUGUCUACCCAGCAGUAACUUUAGACUGUGACUUUUUCCUCUUGCAUUUGCAGUAUGCAACUUAGUUUUGAGAAAAUCGGGAAAAGCACCAUCACCUUGGGCUUCAGCUAGCCUCUUGCUUUUUCUUGAUUCUCUCUGUUCCUGCCCAUAAGCCAC